AUACGUAGGGUGCAAGCGUUAAUCGGAAUUACUGGGCGUAAAGCGUGUGUAGGCGGUUCGGAAAGAAAGAUGUGAAAUCCCAGGGCUUAACCUUGGAACUGCAUUUUUAACUGCCGAGCUAGAGUAUGUCAGAGGGGGGUAGAAUUCCACGUGUAGCAGUGAAAUGCGUAGAUAUGUGGAGGAAUACCGAUGGCGAAGGCAGCUCACUAAACUAUAACUGACGCUCAUGCACGAAAGCGUGGGGAUC
rnacentral:rRNA from 1 species